rnacentral:rRNA from 1 species
AGUGAACGCUGGCGGUAGGCCUAACACAUGCAAGUCGAACGGCAGCACAGUAAGAGCUUGCUCUUACGGGUGGCGAGUGGCGGACGGGUGAGGAAUACAUCGGAAUCUACUUUUUCGUGGGGGAUAACGUAGGGAAACUUACGCUAAUACCUCAUACGACCUACGGGUGAAAGCAGGGGAUCUUCGGACCUUGCGCGAUUGUAUGAGCCGAUGUCGGAUUAGCUAGUUGGCGGGGUAAAGGCCCACCAAGGCGACGAUCCGUAGCUGGUCUGAGAGGAUGAUCAGCCACACUGGAACUGAGACACGGUCCAGACUCCUACGGGAGGCAGCAGUGGGGAAUAUUGGACAAUGGGCGCAAGCCUGAUCCAGCCAUACCGCGUGGGUGAAGAAGGCCUUCGGGUUGUAAAGCCCUGUUGUUGGGAAAGAAAAGCAGCAGGUUAAUACCCCGCUGUUCUGACGGUACCCAAAGAAUAAGCACCGGCUAACUUCGUG